AACGAACGCUGGCGGCAUGCCUAACACAUGCAAGUCGAACGAGACCUUCGGGUCUAGUGGCGCACGGGUGCGUAACGCGUGGGAACCUGCCCUUAGGUUCGGAAUAACUCCCCGAAAGGGGUGCUAAUACCGGAUAAUGUCUUCGGACCAAAGAUUUAUCGCCUUUGGAUGGGCCCGCGUUGGAUUAGCUAGUUGGUAGGGUAAAAGCCUACCAAGGCGACGAUCCAUAGCUGGUCUGAGAGGAUGAUCGGCCACACUGGGACUGAGACACGGCCCAGACUCCUACGGGAGGCAGCGGUGGGGAAUAUUGGACAAUGGGCGAAGGCCUGAGCCAGCAAGGCCGCGUGAGUGAUGAAGGCCUUAGGGUUGUAAAGCUCUUUUACCCGGGAGGAUAAUGACAGUACCGGGAGAAUAAGCUCCGGCUAACUCCGUG
rnacentral:rRNA from 1 species